rnacentral:rRNA from 1 species
AUCUCUGAGGAUCGCAUGAUCCUUAGAUGAAAGAUGGUUCUGCUAUCGCUUUUAGAUGGACCCGCGGCGUAUUAACUAGUUGGUGGGGUAACGGCCUACCAAGGUGAUGAUACGUAGCCGAACUGAGAGGUUGAUCGGCCACAUUGGGACUGAGACACGGCCCAAACUCCUACGGGAGGCAGCAGUAGGGAAUCUUCCACAAUGGACGCAAGUCUGAUGGAGCAACGCCGCGUGAGUGAAGAAGGUCUUCGGAUACGUAAAACUCUGUUGUUAGAGAAGAACACGAGUGAGAGUAACUGUUCAUUCGAUGACGGUAUCUAACCAGCAAGUCACGGCUAACUACGUGCC